rnacentral:lncRNA from 1 species
CCAAAACCAACCGCUCUCACCUCUCUUUCCCCGACCACAAUGUUCCCAUCUUCUUCGAUCUUUCCAGCGGGAGAUUUCUUGGCCCUAGGCUUCUCGUCUUCAACAAGACUAGUUGUCCUUUAUUCCCAUACCCAUAAGCUCCUCCUAUUGUCAAUAAAUCAAACCAACAUUAUAUAUCAUGAAAUUGAAAAAAAAAAAAAGUGCUAAGAAAAGAAUGGUUACACCUCCACUUGCUGCUUCGAUUUUUGCAAUAGAAUAUUUCAAUAUGCACAAAGCAUGGUCAUUUGUUUGACCCAUAUGAAACUCUCAAUUUCACUAUUUUUUGGCACAUGAUUCCUUUUUACAAUAGCUCCUGAGUUCUCAUCUCUCCUGAUACGGCAGACUCAAAGGAAAAACAUAAACCUUUGAUAUCUUCACCAAGUUUAUCCAUAGAAACACGAUUAAUGUCACUUUUGUAGAAAAGAUCAAAAGGAGUUUUAGAUAUUAUGGAAACCUAGAAAUGGACCCAGAGGGUCGGGUGGGGAUGAGGUGACGAUGGGGGAGAGGGAGGGGAGUCUGGUGGUGGUGGGGAGGGAGCCGGGAGGGAAGAGGGACGGUGGGAGAGGGGUGGGGGAGGGAAAAUAUUUUUU